AGUGUAUGUAACUGAAAGGUGGUUCGGCAUCAGCGAAUGAUAGUCCCGACUGUUAGUAAAUGGAUCUUGGAUUUACUACAAUUUCUGGUGAUACUACGGUGAUUAUUCAUCGGCGGGGUUUGUUAACUGAUUUAAAAUACACAAAGUAAAUAAAGUUAAACGAAACGAUAAUCCUGCGAUCAACGUAUGGUCGUUGCUUGUUAUGAAACCGAAAAGCAUAGUGAUACAUACUCUGAAAUGAAGUAGCUGGCAAAUGUAGCAAAGUCCAAAAAUUUCCCUACACGUAAAU
rnacentral:lncRNA from 1 species